UACGUAGGUCCCGAGCGUUGUCCGGAUUUAUUGGGCGUAAAGCGAGCGCAGGUGGUUUAAUAAGUCUGAUGUAAAAGGCAGUGGCUCAACCAUUGUGUGCAUUGGAAACUGUUAGACUUGAGUGCAGUAGAGGAGAGUGGAAUUCCAUGUGUAGCGGUGAAAUGCGUAGAUAUAUGUAGGAACACCGGUGGCGAAAGCGGCUCUCUGGACUGUAACUGACACUGAGGCUCGAAAGCGUGGGUAGCAAACAGG
rnacentral:rRNA from 1 species